GACGUAGGGCGCGAGCGUUGUCCGGAUUUAUUGGGCGUAAAGAGCUCGUAGGCGGCUUGUCGCGUCGUCCGUGAAAACCCACAGCUCAACUGUGGGCUUGCGGUCGAUACGGGCAGGCUAGAGUUCGGUAGGGGAGACUGGAAUUCCUGGUGUAGCGGUGAAAUGCGCAGAUAUCAGGAGGAAUACCGGUGGCGAAGGCGGCAUCCUGGACCGACAUUGACGCUGAGGAGCGAAAGCUAGGGGAGCAAACGGG
rnacentral:rRNA from 1 species